UACGGGGGGGGCAAGCGUUGUUCGGAAUUACUGGGCGUAAAGGGCUCGUAGGGGGCCAACUAAGUCGGACGUGAAAUCCCUCGGCUUAACUGGGGAACUGCGUCCGAUACUGGAUGGCUUGAGUUCGGGAGAGGGAUGUGGAAUUCCAGGUGUAGCGGUGAAAUGCGUAGAUAUCUGGAGGAACACCGGUGGCGAAGGCGGCAUCCUGGACCGACACUGACGCUGAUGAGCGAAAGCCAGGGGAGCAAACGGG
rnacentral:rRNA from 1 species